CAUAUUCAAUAGAUUUUCGUAAAAAAGUUCUCUCUUACCCAUGCCGAACACAGAAGUUAAGCCCUAGAACGCCGGAAGUAGUUGGGGGUUGCCCCCUGUGAGAUAGGGAAGUCGCUUAGCU
rnacentral:rRNA from 14 species